rnacentral:rRNA from 1 species
GACGAACGCUGGCGGCGUGCUUAACACAUGCAAGUCGAACGGAAAGGCCCUGCUUUUUUGGGGUGCUCGAGUGGCGAACGGGUGAGUAACACGUGAGUAACCUGCCCUUGACUUUGGGAUAACUUCAGGAAACUGGGGCUAAUACCGGAUAGGUGCUCCUGCUGCAUGGUGGGGGUUGGUAAGUUUCGUCGGUUGGGGAUGGACUCGCGGCUUUUCAGCUUGUUGGUGGGGUAGUGGCUUACCAAGGCUUUGACGGGUAGCCGGCCUGAGAGGGUGACCGGCCACAAUGGGACUGAGAGACGGACCAGACUCCAACGGGAGGCAGCAGUGGGGAAUAUUGCACAAUGGGCGGAAGCCUGAUGAAGCAACGCCGCGUGCGGGAUGACGGCCUUCGGGUUGUAAACCGCUUUCGCCUGUGACGAAGCGUGAGUGACGGUAAUGGGUAAAGAAGCACCGGCUAACUACGUG